GAUGAACGCUGGCGGCGUGCCUAAUACAUGCAAGUCGAGCGAACAGACGAGGAGCUUGCUCCUCUGACGUUAGCGGCGGACAGGUGAGUAACACGUGGAUAACCUACCUAUAAGACUGGGAUAACUUCGGGAAACCGGAGCUAAUACCGGAUAACAUGUUGAACCGCAUGGUUCAACAGUGAAAGACGGUCUUGCUGUCACUUAUAGAUGGAUCCGCGCCGCAUUAGCUAGUUGGUAAGGUAACGGCUUACCAAGGCAACGAUGCGUAGCCGACCUGAGAGGGUGAUCGGCCACACUGGAACUGAGACACGGUCCAGACUCCUACGGGAGGCAGCAGUAGGGAAUCUUCCGCAAUGGGCGAAAGCCUGACGGAGCAACGCCGCGUGAGUGAAGAAGGUCUUCGGAUCGUAAAACUCUGUUAUUAGGGAAGAACAAAUGUGUAAGUAACUAUGCACGUCUUGACGGUACCUAAUCAGAAAGCCACGGCUAACUACGUG
rnacentral:rRNA from 1 species